rnacentral:rRNA from 1 species
GACGAACGCUGGCGGCGUGCUUAACACAUGCAAGUCGAGCGGUAAGGCCCUUUCGGGGGUACACGAGCGGCGAACGGGUGAGUAACACGUGGGUGACCUGCCCUCAGCUCUGGGAUAAGCCUGGGAAACCGGGUCUAAUACCGGAUAUGACUCCAUGACGCAUGUUGUGGGGUGGAAAGCCUUGUGCGGCUGAGGAUGGGCCCGCGGCCUAUCAGCUUGUUGGUGGGGUGAUGGCCUACCAAGGCGACGACGGGUAGCCGGCCUGAGAGGGCGACCGGCCACACUGGGACUGAGACACGGCCCAGACUCCUACGGGAGGCAGCAGUGGGGAAUCUUGCGCAAUGGGCGAAAGCCUGAUCCAGCAAUGCCGCGUGUGUGAAGAAGGCCUGCGGGUUGUAAAGC